GACUAUCUUUGGCGCGUCUGCUAAAUAGGUUAAUAACCCUCUGAUGCUGAGUGAGCUUCUCUUUCAUUAUGACCCGGGGCGGACUUACCAAAGACAGCACCAGGACAUUUCACGUUGACCUAAUGGUCAAUCUGGAGUGCCACCGUGAAUCUGGACCAAUCGCCCACCACCAAGCGUAAAAGGCAGUCCAUUGAGUCCUGAGUGUCUUCUGGAUGGACCUGAUUGGGGUCAGCAGAUCCUCCACUGUGAACAUCUGGAGGGCCCUGAUCCGCAUCAGCAGAUCCUCCACUGGGAACAUAUGGAGGAACCUGAUCCACACUGGCGGAUCCUCCACUAGGAACGUCUGGAGGGACCUGAUCCACACCAGCAGAUCCUCCACUAGGUACGUCAGGAGGGACCUGAUCCACACCAGCAGAUCCUCCACAAGGUACGUCAGGAGGGACCUGUUCCACACCAGCAGAUCCUCCACGAGGUACAUCUGGAGGGACCUGUUUCACACUGGCAGGUUCCACGUGGAGGACGCUUCCACAGAUGUGCCUGAGUUUUAAUUGAAGUGGGAGCUGGUUUGCCAGCUCCUCAAUAGUGCCUGCAUAGAAAUGUACAGGCACUAUGUACUCAUCCAUAUGGCUAUCCAGGAGGAUGAGCUUGUCGUGCAUCUCUGACACUCCAACGAUCUCAAGAACUGCCUCCUGGAUAUCCCUAUCAAUAAGCUGAAAAACAAAAAAAAAUUUAGAAAAGGUGACUGAGCUCAAUGAUGUCCCCGACAUAGAGCUCGUUAAGUGCUUCUUCCCGCCACAGUGAGACAUCGUGUACUACGGAGCCACAUUUCAUCCGCAGGUCCAGGAUCGGUAUGUGAGUGCGAGUCAUUCUAGGCACUUCAACCUGGAAAAUGACAAAAAGGUCGUGAAGGAGGACAGAGGGCCUCCCUUGCAGCUCUUUUAGCCUCCUCACUUAUGGCUAGCGGAGCCGUCCUAAAUUUGAUGGUGCCUUUAUUUACAAAUAAACAUCGGCGGCCAUAUUUGUUUGAGAUGGUUACAUUUUUUACAAUAUAUGAGUGUCCCUCUUCAAAUUCAGGGUCACUGCCGUUUUUUUAUGGACAGAUAAACUGCAUCACCAUCCGUAAGGGCACAUAAAGAUGUGACUUUGUAGGUGUCAACAAUUAUUUUGUUUUCAUGUUUAAUAAAUGUCACAGCCUUUUGGCUACUGUGCACUUUAACACAGGUGAUGUGCAGUGGUGGUGGGCGGCUGUACGGUGUUGCCAUCCUAAGAAUAAGAAAAAAAGGUUACUCUGUAUUAGUUGUAAAUAUUAUGUAGAAUAAAUUAUUAUUUCUUUUUAACUCAAUUCAUCAAUUAAACAUAUCAAUUAAUCUAAAUCUGUUUGUCUUGACUGGAAUGUUGUGCUACAUCCUCCUUCAAAAUAUCAUAUAUUGUGUUUUAUAGAAGAGAGAAACUCAAAGAUUUGUAAGCAUAUAAGGGGGGAGUAAAUUGUUGUUUUUUUUUUUUUUUUUUUUUUAAUUUUUAUUUUAUUAUAACACAAGAAGUUUGUAAAGGGUUCACUGUGAACAUCAGCCUGCUUUCAAGAUUUAAGAUAAGUCUUUUGUGUCUUCAGAAUGUGUCUAAAGUUUCAGCUCAAAAUACCUAUCAAAUUAUUUAUUAUACCUUCCUGGAUAUAUAUUAAAAGUCACAUGAACAUUAUUUGAAGUAAAAAGUUAAACACAAACACAGCUAAAUGAAAUAUUGAGUAUUAUUCAAUUAUACGACUAGUCUGUAACAGUUAGCAGAGUUUUUCACAGCAUUUUUAUUGAAGAAGUGGUAAUUUCUUAUUUAUUUCAGUCACAUUAACUUUUUAAAAUUAAAAUAAGAAUGAAGUAAAAAACUAAUUUAGAUAAAAUUGCCUCAAACACUAAAAACCCCAUUCCUGGCGUAUAAAUGAUCAUACUAUAAUUAUUAAACUUAACGUUACGCAUCCAGCUGUAUUCUGACAAGAUUUGACUGGACAGAAGUGUUAUCUGAGGUAUUUAAAAACAAAAAACAAAACCAUGUUAUUUUAUAAAGGCAUCUGUAGAAUUUAUAGUAUAAUAUCAUAAUUUAAUUAUACUGUAAUCAUAAUCAUAUAAAAGCUAAAUAAGAAUUAAAAAGCUCUCACCUCAGAAGUAUGCUGUCUGUUGUACAACUGAAAGAAUUGACAGUGAUGUGUAUCCAGUCAGAAGCGAGACAUCCAUCACCAAGGCUCAUGACGUCAGAUGGAAACCUUUAUCGAAUGAUGUUCAUGCAUUUUUGUUUAUUAUUUUUAUUCAUAUAAUAAAUGUUGAUUGACAAUGUGGCGCAUCCAAUCAGAAGCGAGACAUCCAUCACCAAGGUACAUGACGUCAGAUGGAUGUCCAUGUGGAUUGACAGUGAGGCGCAUCCAAUCAGAAGCGAGGCAUCCAUCACCAAGGGACAUGACGUCAGAUGGAAACCUUUUAUCAAAUGAUAUCCAUGUCUUUUUUAUUUUUUAUUUUAUUCGUGUAAUGUUAAUUGUUAUUUAAAAUUCAUUAUAUGUAGUACAUUGAAACAUUUCUGAGGUCAUAAUUCAUUAAAAUAUCACACUGAUGUAUUCUCUUAUUAAAUGAGUAAUGUUUUACGUUGGUCACUAGAGUGUUAAAAGACGAUU
ensembl:lincRNA si:dkey-273g18.1 si:dkey-273g18.1